CAUGUAGGCGGAUUAAUAAGUUUGAAGUGAAAUCCUAUAGCUUAACUAUAGAACUGCUUUGAAAACUGUUAAUCUAGAAUGUGGGAGAGGUAGAUGGAAUUUCUGGUGUAGGGUAAAAUCCGUAGAGAUCAGAAGGAAUACCGAUUGCGAAGGCGAUCUACUGGAACAUUAUUGACGCUGAGAUGCGAAAGCGUGGGAGCAAACA
rnacentral:rRNA from 1 species